rnacentral:rRNA from 1 species
GACGAACGCUGGCGGCGUGCUUAACACGUGCAAGUCGAACGGAAAGGCCCUGCUUUUGUGGGGUGCUCGAGUGGCGAACGGGUGAGUAACACGUGAGUAACCUGCCCUGGACUUUGGGAUAACUUCAGGAAACUGGGGCUAAUACCGGAUAGGAGCUCCUGCUGCAUGGUGGGGGUUGGAAAGUUUCGGCGGUUGGGGAUGGACUCGCGGCUUAUCAGCUUGUUGGUGGGGUAGUGGCUUACCAAGGCUUUGACGGGUAGCCGGCCUGAGAGGGUGACCGGCCACAUUGGGACUGAGAUACGGCCCAGACUCCUACGGGAGGCAGCAGUGGGGAAUAUUGCACAAUGGGCGGAAGCCUGAUGCAGCAACGCCGCGUGCGGGAUGACGGCCUUCGGGUUGUAAACCGCUUUCGCCUGUGACGAAGCGUGAGUGACGGUAAUGGGUAAAGAAGCACCGGCUAACUACGUG